AUUGAACGCUGGCGGCAGGCUUAACACAUGCAAGUCGAGCGGAAGAAGGGAGCUUGCUCCUGGUUUCAGCGGCGGGCGCGGGUGUGAUGCCUAUGAAUCUGCCUCGUUGUAGUGGAUGACGUCCGCAGACGGGCGCGAAUACUGCAGACGUCCUGAUCCUGCUGGUGGGGGGUGGUCGGACCGUACCCGAUCGGAUGAGCCUAGUCCGGGUUAGCUAGUUGGUUGGGUAAAGGCCUACCAAGGCGACGAUCGGUAACUGGUCUGAGAGGAUGAUCAGUCACACUGGAACUGGGACAGGGUCCAGACUCCUACGGGAGGCAGCAGUGGCGAAUGUUGGACAGUAGGGGGAAGUCUGAUACAGCCAUGCCGCGUGUGUGAAGAAGGUCUUCGGAUUGUAAAGAACUCUAAGUUGGGAGGAAGGGCAGUAAGUUAAUACCUUGCUGUUUUGACGUUAACAACAGAAUAAGCACCGGCUAACUACGUG
rnacentral:rRNA from 1 species